rnacentral:piRNA from 2 species
GACCCAGUCGCCUAAUGGAUAAGGCAUCAGCC